rnacentral:rRNA from 1 species
GUUCCGCCGCGGCCCUACGCCGGCCCGUCUCCCCUUUCCGAGAGAGAAGACUCUCUCGGCCGACCCGACUCGACCCCGCGGCCGAAAUAAAGCAAGCGACCGACGCAGCGCCAGUGAACCCCACCACCGUCUCUUCUCUUCUCAGUUCGCACGUCUCACCGCGCGUUUCUCUUCUGCCCCCGCUCCACGCCAGGCAAACCCGAAGCCCCCACCACACGACGCCGCCCGCCGUCCCCUCCUCUGGAAUCGGGCGGGGGAAGAAGUGUUCAGGACUGGCGGCAUGGACCGCAUCGUCGGCCGCAAGUUCAAGCUCGGCCGGAAGAUCGGCUCCGGCUCCUUCGGGGUCAUCUACCUCGCCACGGAUAUGGACACCUACGAGAUCGUCGCGGUGAAGAUUGAAAGUAGCAGCUCAAAGCACCCCCAGCUGUUUUAUGAGGCAAAGAUCUACAACGCCCUGCAAGGAGGAAGUGGCAUUGCGAAUGUUAAAUGGUGUGGUGUAGAUGGGGAGGAAAAUGUUCUUAUCAUUGAUCUGUUGGGGCCGAGCUUAGAGAAUUUGUUUGUCUACUGCGGCAGAAAAUUCACCUUGAAGACUGUCCUAAUGCUUGCAGACCAAAUGCUUACAAGGAUAGAAUUUAUGCAUUCCAAAGGAUACUUGCAUAGAGACAUAAAACCUGACAAUUUUCUAAUGGGUCUCGGCCGGAAGGCAAAUCAGGUCUAUGUAAUUGAUUUUGGGCUUGCAAAAAGAUACCGGGAUUCUACUACGAAUCGACAUAUUCCUUACAGGGAACAUAAGAACUUAACUGGCACUGCACGUUAUGCAAGUAGCAACACUCACCUUGGAAUUGAGCAAAGUCGACGGGAUGAUUUGGAAUCUCUUGGCUAUGUUCUCCUAUAUUUUCUCCGAGGAAGUCUCCCCUGGCAGGGACUAAAAGCUGCAACGAAAAAGCAGAAGUAUGAGAAGAUAUGUGAGAAAAAGAUUUCGACACCUAUCGAGGUGUUAUGCAAAUCCUGUCCGGUAGAAUUUGCAUCUUACUUCCACUACUGCAAGUCGUUGACAUUUGAUCAGCGGCCUGAUUAUGGAUUCGUGAAGCGCCUUUUUCGAGACUUAUUCGACCGCCAAGGUUAUGAUUUUGAUUAUGUCUUUGACUGGACUGUUUUGAAAUAUAAACAAGGCCAAAAGACCCAGCAUGUUCCUGGGGCAACUAUUGCUCGAGCAAUCCCAGCACAUCUUGACAAACGAGCGGGUGUAAAUGGGGAUGUCCAUCCAAAUGAAGCCCAUGAACAGAUGGAGUCAAGCCAUAUGACCGGGUCAGCUGCACAGUUACAGAGGCAAAAUAUGGCUGCCAGUGCCAGAAAUGAAAACCCGAAGAAUGAUGGGAAUUCAAGACAUGUAGUGUGUAUCGACGCUUUUCAUCAAAAUCAGGGUUUUGACAGCAAUACUGGCUCUCCUAGCGCUUGUUUUCCGACACUUCCGCACAAUGCCCCAGCAAGGUGAUAGGUCGCCUCUCUUGUGGAGCUAGAAAUGUGGAAAUGCUCAACUAGACUCCAUUUCUUUUAGAGUGGUCAGAUUCAAGAAUCACAAAAUCAAUUCAAACAUCCUGAUGCCUAAUGCAUGUUACAAGGAUGGCUACAGAUCCGAUUGAUUAUGCAAGGUUUGAUCACUGCUGUUGUUGGAUGCUCCAGCAUUUUCUGUGACUGUUGCUUCAGACAUUUUGUUCUCACAGUCGCGGAGGACAUGUAAAUAGUUCAUAUGUCAGAUAAAUGGCAUGGAUAUUAUGCAAUAGUGAUGAUGUCGGGUGUAAAUAGUUCAUAUGGUUAGAUAAAUGGCAUGGACAUUGAGCAAUAGUGAUGUUGUCGGCUCAUUCAGCAUCUGAUAGCUAUCCAAUAUACAUGUGGUGAUAAGGUUAUUCAUGAAAUUUGCAUCAUGAUCUGAAAUAUUUUCAGCAUUGGGUAUUGAAGAUGCCUGAGAACAUAGUACUAGUGCAGUAGGCUAAUCUCAAGUUAAUUGUUUCUGCAUGGAGAUUGGCAGAGGGUUUUCAGUAGGUUAUUAAUUACUGAAGUUUUUACGUCACAUAUUUACUUUAGUAAUCACAUGUUGGGUUGCUCGUAGAUAUAUAAUUCAACUAUCUUUGAAUGUUUGUCGAUUAAAAACUUGAGAUGCUACAUUAUAGAGUUCUAGUGGGUCUAUUUUCCUUUUUUGUUAAAAUAAUGGCGCCUCUCUGUCGUAAAUAAGCAUUUAUUUUAUAUGGCAAGUUCUGUAAUUAAAUAACUUCUUAUGAGCAUAUCAUCCUUUAGUUUACUUGGCCUUGAUCUGUCUGCUAUAGUUUCCGAUAAAUAUGUAGAUUUUUUUUAAAGUGUUUUUGCCUGGGAUUUCCAUUUUAAUAUCCUACCUAUGUGAAAUAUGUUAAAGAAUACUUGUCGGCAAUGCUGCAGAAUUUUUGGCUAGCUUUAUAAAGCGGGGGAAAUGCAGAAUAAUUAAACCAAAAUCUCUUAUGUGGUUCACCAAAGUUGAGCGUUUUGUCCAGCCAAGUGCUGCCUCCACUGCCAGCACUUGUAUGCUUUGUUACACGAACGGCAAUGAUGCAACAUCUGCUUUAUGGAAUCUUCCAUUUUUAUUCUGCGGAAAAGAAGAAGAGGAAGAGGAACACACACUUUUUGUCAGGUGUAUGCAUCACCGAUUCACCGCCACAUAAUCAAGUGUAGAGGUCUCACUUAGCGUGCGCACGUGUUAUCAUACCAGAACAGCAUGUAUCUUGCUCAUGUUAACUCGGUACGUGGUAACAUUUCGUGUUGCAUUGUUUUGUUUCAGUACCAACUCGAUGGCAAAGUGUCUGCAUGACAGGUUUUUGUCUUACGUCACUCCAUGUCACAGAGCACUGAAUGGACUGGACUUGGCGUCAUAAUUUGUUGAUCACCAUGAAAUAAAAGAUGUUGCAAAAAACAAAAAAGAUGUUGUUUGCUUGGAGCUUUGAAGAGGCUUUAGCUUGGGCGAGAACAAUUAGUCUGUCCCUGCACGGCCAGAUUAGGCAAUGAUGGAACGCAAAGCACAGCAUUCCGUAGUGGAUCGCAUCAUAGCCGAGCAACCCUAUCGCUUGUCACAAGACGUUCUGCACCAUCCUUUUUCCGUAGUUGGCAUCUCUUCGUGAAACAUUUGCUGCCUUAUUGUAGUAUACUAAUUUUUCAUCCUUUCGUUGUGUUUUCAAAGUUAUUUCUGGUUAAUUAUACUUUGGGGUUCAUGCAAGCAUUAUUUGCUAGAGUACACAUAAACCAGACAUAACGUGAUAAGCUACGAAACUAGCGUAAUUUUGUUGAUUCCUGCAUGAGUGCAUAUGUUCUUGUUUGAUGUUGUGGGCGCGCAUGCGUGCUGGAAGCCCGUUGUUGUUCUUGUUUCUAGUUAAGCCAUGUUAUUCAGUACUGAAAUCUGACCAUUACUUGUUCUAAUUACUGUAUAUGUUAGCAUAGUCACAAUAAACACUGGUUUGAAUCUUCAACUUGGACGCAUAACAGGGGCUUUAUCUAGAAAGGAUUCCGCAGUUGGUUCUCUCCAUUCGAGGGGCCGAAUGCUUUCGCACGGACGGCGGAAAACCCGGGCUGCAGGUGGAAUCAUUUUCUCUGACCAGCAAAGGUCUUUUUCUUAAGCACCCAAUCAUGAGCCUUCUUUCAAUUAUUUCCUGGGACUUGGAGCAUUAAGAAACAAUCCCCAGACAAUGCAGGCAGGAGGUAAAGCUCCAACUCUCGCAUGUUUGCUGAAAAGCUACAAGUGCUGUUCAGGUUAAAGUUGGUAGUAAAUCAAAUACUAGCAUAGGUUCUAGUCGAAAGUUGAAACGUGCAAUGCCAAACCCAAACAUUUCUGUUCCUCAAGUUGCAGGCACUCCUAUCAUCCCAUAUACAGAUCUACUUGCCUCGAUAUCAUGGAGACUAGCCGAACUCUGUUCUCUCUGUUGCCGCCAACGGUUUUUGGAUAAUACACACGUAAGGAUAGAUACCAUCACCCGAUUAUAGAUCCUUUCUAAAGAGGCACACUACGUCGAUGAUUCAAUCCCUUCUCGUUUAACCAUGUUUCUUUUGUAUGCAAUAUAGCAUGAUCAGUGCAAAUUUUCAGACGAAACCUCACCUCUGUGUAGAUUGGGCAUGUAGCAUGGAGUUUGCUGUUAAUCCCAGUCCCUAGAUUAGUAUGGUGAGAGAGGUUCAGGUGGCAGAUCAUGAUAACAUAACUUAUCAUCAAGAUCAGAAACGCUCUUCCCGCCAUGUUUCUCAUCAAAAUGUUGGGAGUUAGACCCGAGUAUCUCUCCUAUAUUUUCAUGCCUACGAACCAAAUAGAUGGCUAUAUAACCAACAACCCCCAAAUCCUCUUUCGUUUCUCAAGCAAAUAAGAUGUGGCUUUUACACAAAUUACUAGAAGUCCAUGGGUCAGGUGAAGUCCAUGGGUCAGGGGUUUUUUACCACGAAAUCUGUUUAUGAGUGGUUAGAAAAAGAUUUGUCAGGACCUGACUACAAGUUGAUCUGGAAAGCUAGGAUUCCUUUGAAAAUUAAAAUCUUCCUCUGGCAGCUGUUUCAGAAUGCCAUCCCUACUAGGGACAACUUGCGGAAAAGGAACUGGCCCGGGAACCCAACAUGUUCAUUUUGCCAUGAUAUUGAAUCUGCGGAUCAUCUUUUCUUUGGGUGUGUGUUUGCUCGGUCUGUUUGGGGGGCGAUUGGGUCAGCCCUGGGAGCAUCCUGCACUCCUAAAACCAUUUGGCAAAGUUGGGCAUGGCUCUAUAAAUAUCUUCCUGGUGGUAAAAAGCAUUACAUGACUAUUGUUGCUGCUGUCUGUUGGGGCAUUUGGUGCACUCGUAACAGGGUAACGUUUGACAAAUGUAUCAUUCGCUCCCCGUUGGAGGCUGUUUUCACUGCAUGCUCUUUUUUGAUGUAUUGGUCAGGUCUGCUGAAAGGGAUCGACAAGGAAAACGUCCAGGCUGGAGUGCAGAAGAUGGUGCGCGCGGCUGCUUCGUUGGCGGAUCGUUCUGCUACCAGGGGGAGGCUCAUGCUGGGAAAUGGUGCUUGAAGUUGUUCUGCCCAGUAGACUUAGAAGUUUGUGAUCUCACUGGGGUUUGAUGCCCGCUGAGAUGUUCGGUGGUUCCUUUUGGUGGUGGUGUCCCGUACUUGGCUUCCUGGUUUCGUGGGAUGUUCGUUUCGUGCUGUUCGCUUUGAGGAUGGGAUGGUUGGUGUCAACAGGUUUUUGCCCCGUGGUGGAUGACUCAUUUUAGAGUCAUUUGUUGCGGGUUUCCUGUUGAUGCUCCAACUCGCUCUCCCCUUUCGGUCUCCUUUUGCUUAGUCGUUUUCUAGUAGCCCAAUGGGCGAUGGCUGUAAAAACUACUGAGAC